GACGACGUGACGGCUGCUGCGGUGGGGAGCCGGGGAGGCUCGCGCGGGCGCGGGAAGGAGGCGGGAGCCCGGUUGCUGAGGCCCCCCGUCCCCACGCCGCCACUGCGGCGCUGCCAGACAGCCAGGGGCGGGGGAGGCGGAGGGAGGAGGCGGCGAGCCCGCGGCGCGGGGCCUGGGCGGGGGAAACUCGCGCCCCAGGCUGUGGCCGGCAGGGAGCUGCUUCAGGGACAAGAUGUGGGGCUGGAUGUGCUCACGCCCCAGAGGCGACCCCCUCCUGCCCGCUGGCACGCCGCGGGGUCAAACUGUGCUCUCCAGCCGUGGCUUCCUCCCCGCCACCUGUUGCACCCCAUUGCUUCCCCAAGUGUCCUGGCUUCAACCUCCCUCUCUGGUUUUCCCAGCUCUCAGCCCACAAUCUUCAGUCCUUCGGAAUACAAGUCUUGUCGUAUGAAGGAAGCCGGGUAACUCAGCACCUUCCUUGGCACCGAGAAGAAGAGAGACAGGGGUCUCCCCAGCAAGCUCUGAUGUGAGGUAUUCCACAGGGCAAAUUCCCAGGUAUUUGGGGGCAGGGAGGACCCGCCAACAGAGGACCAGGCGGAGACAUUCACUGGAGAAUUUUCUCUGAACCCCAAGGGGGCACUGCCACAAUGUGGCUCCCGCUUUGGCCCCAGAAGCUGAGUGUGAGAGGGACCAACUGGAAUAGAGGAGGCUUUGGAAACCUCCUUGAGACUGGAUGGCCGAAUCUUUCUGGAGACUUGGCACCAGGUGAUAGCAGAAGAAGACACGAGAAGGCACAGAGGGGGAAGGGGAAGGGGCAGUGCCCCACUUCAGGGGAGACACGUCAAGAGUCUCAAGCAUACUUGGACUUCAUCUUCUUUCCCUAGACCCUUCUGAUUUGCUUCAGAAGGAGAAGGAAUGGCAAAGAUUUGUGUACCAAGCUGAUGCCAGACGCUGGCAGCAUCCUCACCUGUUGCUCCAGAAGGGGCUGUGUGCAUCCUUGAAGAGGCUUAGCUCUACCACACUCACCUACAACACCCUCUUCACCACCCCACCUCCCAAGCACAUCACUCUGCUUUGUCCUCUUCACAACACUGCUCACUCAUUGAUGAUUAUCUUGGGCAUUUUUUAUGAGCUUGUUUACAGUGGGUCUCUCCUACUGAAGUAAGCUCAGGGACAAACACACACAUGCAUACACACAAAAUGUGUCUGUUGGGGUCUCCACUGUAUCCCUAAGACUUAGCAGAGCUCUGGGUACACAAUAGGCACUCAACCAAAUGUGUCACUGAUUUGUGUGCAGCUGUGUGUGUCCUACUACCACUGAGUUAGUCCACUAGGACCUGGGGCUGCCUUCAGACUACGGUGCAAGACAGAAGAGACUGCAGGACAUGUUUAGGCUUGCACAGCCCCUCACCCCCGCCCCCCGACACACACCGGGAAGAGCCCCAUACUUUCUUUCAUGCUUUGCUGCUGAAAUUUUUAAUAAUUUUUGAACAAGUGGACCUGCAUUUUUCUUUUUUCCUGGGCCCUGCAAAUUAUAUAGCCAGUUUUGCCCUGGGCAGAAAUGCCGCAGAGCAGGGAACAGGCAAACACGCGGCUUUGCUGAGGCCAUGAGGAAGAGAAGGCUGCCAGUCCAUCCGCCUGCCGUCCUGUCCAACACCAGACUGCUAUGGAAAGGAGCAUGUCUGCCCUUACUGUAGCCAGCCUGGGAUUUGAAGUGUCCUGUAUGCAUGUCUCUUCCUCCACUGACAUUGGACCUCCGGGAAAUGAAGGAUGACAUACGGCACAGCAGAAAUUGAUCAUCAGCUGGAAAUGAUAUAUAACAGGGCCUAAGACGCUCCCUCUACUGACCUGAGUGCAGACCCCUCGACAAAGACCUCCCCAUCCCUGACACCAAUGAUCCCAGGAUGGGGGCCCCUGUGUUGACCUGAGUCAUCCUCGGAGAACAAGUUCCUCACCUCCCCGAGAUCUGAAAACAGGAAUGAGAUGGAGCUACAUCCUGUCACCCCCACAUGGGGUGUCCAGAGCCUGGACCCACUUCCCUCCACCAAUCUCAAGCCGCCACUCAGAGCGAGAACUUCGCUUCUCUUUGACCCCCAACGCCAAGUCAGUGGUGUCACAUCCGGGCACCCGGGGAUUCCCUCGGUUGAAAGCAGGGGCGAAACCGGAUUCUACCAGAAUAGCCUGGGCCCACUUCCCUCCUCCAAUCCCAAGCCGCCUGUCAGACCAAGAAGCUCGCUUCUCUCUGACCCCCAAUGCGCAAAUCAGUGGCGUCACAUCCAGGCCAGGGGCUUCCCGGGGUUGACAGCAGGGGAAGACCCAGAUUCUGCCAGGAUGGAGCUAUAGAGGGAACCUGGGCCUGCUUCCUUCCACCGAUCUCAAGCUGCUCCUAAGACCAAGAACCUGGCUUCUCUCUGAUACCCAAUGCGCAAGUCAGUGGCAUCACAUCCGGGCCACCUGGCGCUUCUGGUUGAUUUGGGAAGCAGAGAAUAGCCGCCCAAAUUUGAUUGUAAUUUUGGCGGCUACAGCUGGCAUGAAAAUCUGCCUCAUUCACUCUACACUGUUAAAAUCCAAGCCUGGGUACCACAUCUACUGAGAUGAGCAUAACCCUACAGUUGAAACAAGACACAUAAGAUGUCCAGUGGAGCAAAUGUAUUCACUGGAGUUUGACAGCCUGAAUGCAGUGAUUUCAGACUGGGGAAAACUGAAACCCCAGGAGACUUCUGUGGACACUUUUCCAUUGGUAGGAUGGGAAAGUUCCUUGGUGGUAUCCAAGUGAGUGGUCUUCAAGAUGCAUAAGAGAAAUUUUUAGGAGUGAAGUAGGAUGAUUCACAUCUACACAUAUAUUUAAAUACAGUCAGAUUACCUCGGAGAGAUUUCCGGUAAGAUGUACAAAAACUAGAUAAUGGUGGGAGAAAACAGAAGGAAGCACUGAAGUGGGGUGACUUUGGGAAAAGGCUUAGAGGAAAUACUCUCUCCCUGCCAUGUGACCCACCCAAGUUGAACAUGGGAGGAAAGGAGCACCGCUACUCAGUUUGGGAAAGCUCUUUAGGAGUGCUAAAGAAAUGUCCCCUUUUUCUUCAAUCAGAGCAUCCUGGCUUUGUCAUCAGACUCCCCUCUUCCCUCUCUCCAUACCCCUUCCCCCCUCCCACUCACGACAAUGUCCUUAUAGUGCUUUGUGAUGUCUAAGCCCCUCACCCCUCAGAGCCACCAUUGGCUGGGUAGUGGCUUGCUGAUCCAUCAAAGCUCACAGGUAUGGCUUUAUUGUCACGGUGGAAGGGGGUGUAUAUAUAGGGAGGCCAGGAGGCAUGGAGUAGACGAUUGAGAGACACUGACAUGGUGAAGAUGACCAGGAAACCACAAACCUCCAGCCCAGGUGUCAAAGAACAACCACCUGCCAACACCAAAGGGGCAAGGAACAGGAAGGCCCCCUGUCAAACUAAGUCUAUAAGUCCUAUCAAGGUUCCUAAGACAACCAGGAAGGGAAAAGGAAACCUUUUAGGGAAUUCCAGAAAAAAAAAAAACAACUCUCCCAAAAAAGAUCUCUGCUUCAAGAAAACCUGAGGAAGGAAGCGAGCCAAAACUAUCCAGCCCCUGUGACCAGCUGAAUGAGGAACUUAAUCAAAAUUAGCCACAGCAGGACCAAAGCAAGGAGACCUCCAACAUCCCUAGUGUCUCCCCGGGCAGCCAGUAAUUUCAGGGCAAGACCAGAGAACUCAGAUUUACCUGAAAAGUCUCCAGAGGUCUAACCCCAAAUAAAUAGCCAACAGGGUCUAGAGUACGUUUUACACCCCACAGGGUACACCCCACGGUGAUCAAAAUAAAAAGAACCUGUUGUAAAAUGGGGUGUGUGUGUGUGUGUGUGUGUGUGUGUGUGUGUGUGUGUGUGUGUUCUAGGAUGGUGGGGAGGGAGGAAGGAGGGGAGAGGUGGGAGUUUGGGAAGGGAGGAAGGUGGGAUCCUCUUCAAUUUCUUUAAAUUCAACUUGCUCUUCUUUCUUUAGUUUCCUAGAGUGAAAGUUUUGGUUAUUGAUUUUAUAUUUUAUUUUCUAAUAUAAAUAUUUAAAAUAUGCUAUACAUUUUUCCCAAGGACUACUUUAGCUGAAUCCCUCAAAUUUUUGUAUGUAUAUUUUUAUUUUCAUUCAAUGUAAUGUAUAUUCUAAAAUUAUCCUAAGAAUCCCUCUUUGAUCCAUAGAUUACUUAGGAGCAUAUUUUAAAAUUUACAACAUUUGAGCAUUUUUCAGUUAUCUUUGUGUUUGAUUUUGAGCUUAACUACAUUAUGGUCUUCAAGAAGCAUCUUAAAGAAUAUGCUUUUUAUUAUUUCUAAUAUUUUCAAUUUGUAAGGUUUGUUUUAUGGCCCAGAAUACCAUCUAGCUUGGUAAAUAUUUUAUGCACACUUGAGAGGAAUGUUUAUUCUGCUAUAGUUGGAUGCGGUGUUUUUGUUUGUUUGUUUGUUUGUUUGUUUUUAAUUUUAAUCAGGUAAUCUAUAUCCUUCCUGGUUUCCUGCUUACUUUUUCUCUGAAAUACUGAGAAACAAUUCAGAGAGUUUUGACAAAUAUAUAGUCCCAUGAAAUCACAACCACAGUGAAGGCGCAAAAUAUAUUCAUCAUCCCCAAAAGUUUCUUCCUGUGCUUUUGCAGUAAAACCACUCCUUCAGUAGAAGUGACCUGAGAAUUCUUGUGGAAAAUACCACGACAGGGUCACUGCAGACUCCUUCUCCUCAGGCCCAAACAGUGUCUUGGAGGUCUCUGCCCCCACCGGGCUGAAAUCUGGAUUCAGAGCUCUCAGUGGCAGCCUGCCUGGGGCUCUGUGGACUUGAUUUCACAUGUGGUCUCUCUCGUGGACUCUGGUAAUUGCUCUUCCCUGCAUCCUCCUAAUGCCCCUUGCCAGCCGAGGGUGUCCUGUCUGCUCUCCUUCCCCG
rnacentral:lncRNA from 1 species